rnacentral:rRNA from 1 species
CCUACGGGAGGCAGCAGUAGGGAAUAUUGCUCAAUGGGGGAAACCCUGAAGCAGCAACGCCGCGUGGAGGAUGAAGGUUUUCGGAUUUUAAACUCCUUUUGUUAGAGAAGAUAAUGACGGUAUCUAACGAAUAAGCACCGGCUAACUCCGUGCCAGCAGCCGCGGUAACACGGAGGGUGCAAGCGUUAGUCGGAAUCACUGGGCGUAAAGAGCGCGUAGGCGGGUUAGCAAGUCAGAUGUGAAAUCCUAUGGCUUAACCAUAGAACUGCAUUUGAAACUGUUAGUCUAGAGUAUGGGAGAGGUAGGUGGAAUGCUUGGUGUAGGGGUAAAAUCCGUAGAGAUCAAGAGGAAUACUCAUUGCGAAGGCGACCUGCUAGAACAUAACUGACGCUGAUGCGCGAAAGCGUGGGGAGCAAACAGGAUUAGAUACCCCUGUAGUC